CUAUGUCAUCUUAUGACAUAAAGUCGAAACAUACACUGUGUUGCAAAAACGUUGAUUUAUUCGUUUAUUUAUUUAUUGCUUAGUUGGGUGGCCGAAUUCACGGCCCACUUGGUGUUAAGUGGUUAUCGGAGCCCAUAGACAUCUACAGCGCAAAAGCCGCCAUCCACUUUGAGACAUGAGUUCUAAGGCUUCCUGCAUGAUGCACAGCUAACUGAGCGACACUCUGGGCAACGCAAUUUCUUUUGUUUUGGAUGAACAAAGAAUCCCGAAGCACAUUCCAUGCACCAUCUAAAAUUGGGGUCUCGAGCCAGAGUACGGUCACGCAACUAAAACAAAGAAAAACUCAUUCAAAUGUUUCUACUUAUGAAAUCACACAAACUUAAAUAUAAUUAUUUCUAAAUUGAUUAGCGAAAAGAACUUACAGCUAUAGAGAUAUCUAUACGACCAAGAAGAGGUUCAAGAAAUUACAGCCGAGACCAACCUUCAACAGUGCAGUAACCGGAAUCCGGAGGGACCAAUUGUCAUUUUAAUUUUUUUAAUUAUUCAACAAACACACAAAUUAGUGCAUCAAUAGGCGUUUUUGAAAAAAUACGCCGUGCUGUCUCUGAUGUUGAAAUGUUUAUUAAUUUCAGCGCAUAUCAAAUUAUAGUUUUCGUUACAGCGAUUAUUGGACUUGAUUAAAAAUAGUUGAAAUUUAAUGUACUCUAUUACAUUAAAUGUUGAAUAAUUACCUUUCUUUGGAAUAAUUCGUGCACUUCCGUUUCGAGUAACGUCUUAAGUAGAAUAUCCAAAUGUGCGAAAUAAUCUAACCAGGCGUCUUCGGGAAGAUUUUCUAAAUCUGGAACUUUGCAGUAUGGGCACACGCAGUCUGCUAUGCUCCUUUCCGUGAUUUGAACUGUGAAGUAGUGUCGGGCGCAUUCUCGACAGCAUCGGAUUGAAGGAUUACUGGUGGCCCGGAAGCAUUUCUAGUUUCAUCAGGACAGGUGGGCGAACAAAGGCUCAGCCAGGAUAGCGGGAGUUGCUAACAGCAGCUCGAGCGCCUCCGAAGGAGACCUAACAACUCAAGAGCAGCUGCUUCGCGAAUGAAUCUAUUACCGGCUCGGAAUCGCGACCCGCUGAGAAGAUCCGGCGAGAAACUCAGCGAGCUGAUGCAUGGGUUAGGUUGCGCGUCGAACUCUUGGUCGAGUUCGACGAGUACGAUCCGGAUCCGGAGCAGGGCUGCUUGUAAUUUAUAAAACAAUAACCAUUGACUGCCUUAAUGGAGAACUCGACUUUAUCAAUUGGUGGACUACCGUUCGUUCAAUGGCUGCGAGUACCCGCUUAACAGUAGGUAUGCUGUGUGAGCAUUAACUCAGAUAUGAGACCUAAUAAAAAGGAGGCCCCAAACUCAAAAGAAAAUAUUCUUUUCAGCUCGUAAACAAAAAUGGGGUCGAAAAUAAGUCAAACAAGAUUUAUAAAAUUAUUGAGAAGUAUGUUUAAACACACAUACCUAAUUUAUAUAUAUGAAAUAAUGUAUGUAUGUUCACCUAAAAUUAUCUUUCUGCAUCGUCUCAUGGCUUUUAUGUUUUAAUAUAAAAUUACAUAUUGUUGCGCGCGAAGCCGCGGGCGCAGCUUGUAUUAUAAUAAUAUACGUUGCGAUGCCGUGUAUCUGGCAAAUUAGAAAAAUGAACAUUUACUUGAAAAACAAAUCAAAAAUUUUUAAUUCGAAAAUGUUAUUUACAAAUUUCGGAAAAAAUAAUUUCUAUUUAUUUCAAAUACUUUGCGUCAGAUUUAGCGCGUUUGCUUAAGACUGUUUUGAUAGAUAUUAAAUUAUGACCGGUACAUAAGAUGUUGAAAAUAAUUUAAACAUGGUUAUGUAGAUUUGCUACCGAAUUCGCAAGUAAGUACAUCGGCAUUAUUGUUAAGUUUUUUGUGUUUAUUAUCAUGUGCAAAUGGCAGCUGUGACCGGGAUAGUGCGGGCGUUGCCGCGUCGCCGACGCCUUGUCGACCCAUUUACCGCCACUCAUAUCCCAAAAUAUCCAAAACGAUGUUCGUACUCUAUGAAUAAAAUUAAAAUUCAGUUAGGUUAGUGAGUACACUGUAAUUGAAUAUUUAAUAAACUAUAACGACAAAAAAAAAUUGUUAAAAUAAAUUGUCAGAUUUUAAA